GAUCACUGCCCUCCUUGGGCGUUUCCUCCCUAGACUUGGGCCGUCCAUACCCUGGACGGCCCUUUUUUCUUGCUCGG
rnacentral:sRNA from 1 species